rnacentral:rRNA from 1 species
CCUACGGGAGGCAGCAGUAGGGAAUAUUGCUCAAUGGGGGAAACCCUGAAGCAGCAACGCCGCGUGGAGGAUGAAGGUUUUCGGAUUGUAAACCCCUUUUGUUAGAGAAGAAAAGGACGGCACGUAACGAAUAACCACUGUACAAAUCCGUGCCAGCAGCCGCGGUAAUACGGCGGGUGCAAGCGUUAUGCGGAAUAACUGGGCGUAAAGUGCGCGUAGGGGGGAUAGCAAGUCAGAUGUGAAAUCUUAUGGCUUAACCAUAGAACUGCAUUUGAAACUGUUAUUCUAGAGUGUGGGAGAGGUAGGUGGAAUUCUUGGUGUAGCGGUGAAAUGCGUAGAGAUCACGAAGAAUACUCAUUGCGAAGGCAGCCUACUAGUACAUAACUGACGCUGAUGCGCGAAAGCGUGGGGAGCAAACAGGAUUAGAUACCCUUGUAGUC